CAGCCUACGGGACGCAGCAGUGAGGAAUAUUGGUCAAUGGGCUUACGCCUGAACCAGCCAAGUCGCGUGAGGGAAGACUGCCCUAUGGGUUGUAAACCUCUUUUGUCAGGGAGCAACGCCGGCUACGUGUAGCCGGGCUGAGAGUACCUGAAGAAAAAGCGUCGGCUAACUCCGUGCCAGCAGCCGCGGUAAUACGGAGGAUGCGAGCGUUAUCCGGAAUUAUUGGGUUUAAAGGGUGCGUAGGCGGAAUGCCACGUCAGCGGUAAAAUCGCGGGGCUCAACCUCGCUCCGCCGUUGAAACUGGG
rnacentral:rRNA from 1 species